AUUGAACGCUGGCGGCAUGCCUUACACAUGCAAGUCGAACGGCAGCACGGGAGCAAUCCUGGUGGCGAGUGGCGAACGGGUGAGUAAAGUAUCGGAACGUGCCCAGUCGUGGGGGAUAACGUAGCGAAAGUUACGCCAAUACCGCAUACGAUCUAUGGAUGAAAGCGGGGGAUCGCAAGACCUCGCGCGAUUGGAGCGGCCGAUAUCCGAUUAGGUAGUUGGUGGGGUAAAGGCUCACCAAGCAGACGAUCUGUAGCUGGUCUGAGAGGACGAGCAGCCACAGUGGGACUGAGACACGGCCUAGACUCCUACGGGAGGCAGCAGUGGGGAAUUUUGGACAAUGGGCGAAAGCCUGAUCCAGCCAUGCCGCGUGCAGGAUGAAGGCCUUCGGGUUGUAAACUGCUUUUGUACGGAACGAAAAGGUUUGGCCUAAUAAGCUGAGCUCAUGACGGUACCGUAAGAAUAAGCACCGGCUAACUACGUGCCAGCCGCCGCCGUAA
rnacentral:rRNA from 1 species